rnacentral:rRNA from 1 species
AUUGAACGCUGGCGGCCGGCCUAACACAUGCAAGUCGAGCGAGCGGCGGACGGGUGUGUCAUGUCUGGGAAACUGCCUGAUGGCGGGGGAUAACUACUGGAAACGGUAGCUAAUACCGCAUACCAUCAGAUGUGCCCAGAUGGGAUUAGCUAGUAGGUGGGGUAAUGGCUCACUAAGGCGACGAUCCCUAGCUGGUCUGCGAGGAUGACCAGCCACACUGGAACUGAGACACGGUCCAGACUCCUACGGGAGGCAGCAGGGGGGAAUAGUACACAAUGGGCGCAAGCCUGAUGCAGCCAUGCCGCGUGUGUGAAGAAGGCCUUCGGGGUGUAAAGCACUUUCAUCGAGGAGGCGUUACUCGAAGAGGAAGCACCGGCUAACUCCGUGCCAGCAGCCGCGGUAAUAC